UACAGGGGUCUCGAGCGUUGUUCGGAUUCAUUGGGCGUAAAGGGUGCGUAGGCGGCGUGGCAAGUCUGAUGUGAAAUCCCGGGGCUCAACCCCGGAACUGCAUUGGAUACUACCAGGCUAGAGUACUGGAGAGGAGAUUGGAAUUUACGGUGUAGCAGUGAAAUGCGUAGAUAUCGUAAGGAAGACCAGUGGCGAAGGCGAAUCUCUGGACAGUUACUGACGCUGAGGCACGAAGGCCAGGGGAGCAAACAGG
rnacentral:rRNA from 1 species